rnacentral:rRNA from 1 species
AGAGUUUGAUCCUGGCUCAGAUUGAACGCUGGCGGAAUGCUUUACACAUGCAAGUCGAACGGCAGCAUAGGUGCUUGCACCUGAUGGCGAGUGGCGAACGGGUGAGUAAUACAUCGGAACGUGCCCAGUCGUGGGGGAUAACGUAGCGAAAGUUACGCUAAUACCGCAUACGAUCUGCGGAUGAAAGCGGGGGACCGUAAGGCCUCGCGCGAUUGGAGCGGCCGAUGUUAGAUUAGGUAGUUGGUGGGGUAAAGGCUCACCAAGCCGACGAUCUAUAGCUGGUCUGAGAGGAUGAUCAGCCACACUGGGACUGAGACACGGCCCAGACUCCUACGGGAGGCAGCAGUGGGGAAUUUUGGACAAUGGGGGCAACCCUGAUCCAGCCAUGCCGCGUGAGUGAAGAAGGCCUUCGGGUUGUAAAGCUCUUUCGGCCGGGAAGAAAUCGCACAGGCUAAUAUCCUGUGUGGAUGACGGUACCGGCAUAAGAAGCACCGGCUAACUACGUGCCAGCAGCCGCGGUAAU